CACACCUCCGGUUCCGACACAGGUAUUUAUAAGGUUGCCACACCCACCGCCACAACCACCGCAACCACCACAGCCACUGCUCUCCUCCUUGAGUCCACAACCACUGCUAUUCACCAUGCUUCCACAACCUCCGCCGCACCCACCACAGCCAGAGCCACAGCCACUGCUAUUCACCAUGCUUCCGCAACCUCCGCCACACCCACCACAGCCAGAGCCACAACUGCCGCUAUUCACUAUGCUUCCACAACCACCCCCGCACCCACUACCGCAACCACCACCACAGCCACCACCACAGCCACCACUCUUCACCAUGUUUCCACAUCCAGCACCACAACCACCCCCACAUCCACUGCCGCAGCCACUACCACAACCACCACUCUUCACCACGUUUCCACAUCCAGCACCACAACCACCGCAGCCACCACUGCUUACCGUGUUGCCUUUCUCACUUCCACAGCCCCCAUUGCAUGAACCAUCUUUUUUAGGUAUCACUGCAUUUUCUAAUGUCACAUCCGAAUGGACUUCAGUUUCCAUGGAGGCAUGCUGGUCGUUGUCAACAAU
rnacentral:lncRNA from 1 species